rnacentral:misc_RNA from 1 species
GAUGAAGAACGUAGCGAAAUGCGAUAAGUAAUGUGAAUUGCAGAAUUCAGUGAAUCAUCGAAUCUUUGAACGCACCUUGCGCUCCUUGGUAUUCCGAGGAGCAUGCCUGUUUGAGUGUCAUGAAAUUCUCAACCUUUUCAGCUUUCUUUGUUGUUCAGGCUUGGAUGUGGGAGUAUGCGGGCUUCUCAGAAGUCGGCUCUCCUGAAAUGCAUUAGCGGGACCUUUGUUGCCUGGCUUUGGUGUGAUAAUUAUCUACGCCAUUGUAGUCAAGCAGCUUAAAAUGAGGUUUCAGCUUCUAACCGUCUCCCCUGAGACAACUUUUUGACAAUUUGACCUCAAAUCAGGUAGGACUACCCGCUGAACUUAAGCAUAUCAAUAAGCGGAGGA